AUGGGGAUGGAGUCCAUGAACAAGACAGCCGCACUGGAGGCUCUAUCCCCGUACCUGAAUCACCCGCGGAGAACCGUCAUCCAGGCGGAGGUUUUCACGUCGGGGAUCAUUUUGCUUCUACUCCUGCAGCUCAUCCUGGGCUCCUUUAGGCGGCAAUCCACCAAUCUGCUUGUCCAAGGAGGUACGUGGAUGACCUACACUGUGUCGCUCCCGGCCAUCGCCUACACCCUAGGCUUGAUGCAGUCGUCUCCGGUGAAGAAUGUGAUGUACCCCAUCUGGGCCAUCUCAUUGCUUAUGGCCGCUGGGUACACCAACGCCGCCAGGGUCUACGAGCUCGACGACAACAGGCAAUGGAAGCGGGGGGUUUUCAAUAUUGUACAGUACUCCGUCUACGUUACGUUCAUCUGCUAUCUACUUCUCCCGUAUAGCAUGAGCUUCAAGCCUUCUUUCGCCCAAUUUCACAAUCCUGCAAUUAUUAAGUCUCCGUCAAUUGUCAUCGCUCUUCUCACUAUGAUUACAAUGUUCAUGGUAAUCGUGUGUAGAGAGAUUGCAUGCGUGUUGGUUGAGCUCGGCUAUAACAAAGCCAGAAAAUUUGCCAAGUUCUUGGAGAAACUUCCUGCUGCAGCUGUGGCUUCUGACAGCGAAGGGAUUGAUCCUGCCAGCAGCAUCAAUUUGAAAGGCUAUAAAUACCCUGUUCAUAUUGGUGGAUACGGUGCUCAAGUCACCAUCGACCAGAUCUGGCACUGUGAUGGAAGGCUCCUCAGCUCAGGUACUGAUCACAGCGAAGGGCUCAAGGACACGUGUCUCGCCUUCUCCAUGUAUCAGCUACUGAAGCAGCGGUACUACGGAAUGACGAUUCCCAAGGAAUGCCUUGCUGGAACCCACCAUUUUUUACUCAGUGGAUUGCUUAAGACAGAAGCCGGAUGUAAGAGAGCUUUCAGGAUUGUUGAAAUGGAACUGGGGUUCUGCCAUGACCACUUCCUAACUAAACAUGCUAUCAUCUUUGAAGGGGAGGCAGGAUUCUUCUUUCUCUUCUUGGUGAGGAUUCUUCUGCUUUCCUUACUUGCAUCUUUUGUAGUGCAAAGAAAACUGGAUGUUAGGACACCCAGUGCUAUCAUUGAAGUUCAGAACAAAAGGGCUGACGACAUCAUCACUCUCCUUGUUCUGGCCACGAUCCUGCUGGUAGAGAUACUGCAAGCUGCAUUUUAUUUGGCCUCAGACUGGUGCAAGGUGUCGGUUACUUGUAGGUAUGCCAAAAGCACUUCUUGGUACAUACACAAUUCUUUCACGGAGAAGCUUAUCAGCUAUAUUAGCAGAUUUACGAUAUUUGGUUACUGGAAGAAUAGUAUUGGACAGCACUCAAUGGUUUUGGGGGCCACUAAUUCUGAGUUGUCUGGUCGUGACCUGCAAACAGUUAGGCAAGCAGUGGUUGAGUCACUCGUAUCAUGUGAUGGUGUACCAACUAAUGGAGAAGGGUCAUUAGGGAGGAAUGGUGUCCUUGAAGAGCUUUGUUGGUCACUCAUAGGUCAAUCUCAGGCAGAGAUCAUGCUGAUUUGGAAUGUAGCGACUUAUUACUGCGAUCCACCGAUAUCUGGUGAUGGACAACUGAUGGGUGUCAACAAGCAAGUUUCAGUCAGCCUAUCAAGAUAUUGUGCGUACCUGAUGAAAUCUGCCCCAGAAUUGCUUCCAGAGAACUUCGGAGAUACAAAGUCGGCCAUGGCUGAUGUGCAAGGUGUCUUCAACGAAGUUUUAAAAUUCCCGAAUUCUGGUAUCACCCAGGCUAUGGACGAAUUCGAAGACAAAGAAGACGGAAGGAGCAUCUUCAUGAGAGGCGUGAAGCUGGGAAAGCAGCUCAAGGCCAAUGCUACUUGUUGGAAAAUAAUUGCCGAUUUCUGGUCCGAGAAGAUUCUCUACAUCGCACCCACACAUAAUGUUAAAGGGCACAUGAAACUUCUUGCAAAAGGCGGAGAGUUUCUGACCCACAUCUGGGUCCUCCUUACUCAUUCUGGCAUCAUCGAGAUUAACAGGCGCCAACCAUCUCAAGAGGAUGUUUAA
rnacentral:rRNA from 1 species